rnacentral:rRNA from 1 species
UGGGGAAUAUUGGACAAUGGGCGAAAGCCUGAUCCAGCCAUGCCGCGUGUGUGAAGAAGGUCUUCGGAUUGUAAAGCACUUUAAGUUGGGAGGAAGGGCAUUAACCUAAUACGUUAGUGUUUUGACGUUACCGACAGACUAAGCACCGGCUAACUCUGUGCCAGCAGCCGCGGUAAUACAGAGGGUGCAAGCGUUAAUCGGAAUUACUGGGCGUAAAGCGCGCGUAGGUGGUUUGUUAAGUUGGAUGUGAAAGCCCCGGGCUCAACCUGGGAACUGCAUCCAAAACUGGCAAGCUAGAGUACGGUAGAGGGUGGUGGAAUUUCCUGUGUAGCGGUGAAAUGCGUAGAUAUAGGAAGGAACACCAGUGGCGAAGGCGACCACCUGGACUGAUACUGACACUGAGGUGCGAAAGCGUGGGGAGCAAACA